UACGUAGGACGCAAGCAUUAUCCGGAAUUACUGGGCGUAAAGGGCACGCAGGCGGUUCGGUAAGUCAGGUAUGAAAGCUCCAGGCUAAACUUGGAGAGGCUACAUGAGACUGCCGGACUUGAGUGGGGAAGAGGGGCGUAGAAUUCCGCGUGUAGUGGUAAAAUGCGUAGAUAUGCGGAGGAAUACCAGUGGCGAAGGCGACGCUCUGGUCCCCAACUGACGCUGAGGUGCGAAAGCAUGGGGAGUGAACGGG
rnacentral:rRNA from 1 species